UACGUAGGGGGCGAGCGUUGUCCGGAUUUACUGGGCGUAAAGGGCGUCUAAGUGGCACGAUGCGUCGGAAGUGAAAGACGCGGGCUCAACCCGCGGUACGCUUUCGAAACGGUCGAGCUGGAGGGCCGGAGAGGGAAGCGGAAUUGCCGGUGUAGCGGUGAAAUGCGUAGAGAUCGGCAGGAACACCAGUGGCGAAGGCGGCUUCCUGGACGGUACCUGACACUGAAGCGCGAAAGCGUGGGGAGCGAACGGG
rnacentral:rRNA from 1 species